GAGUACAUAUGGCUCCAUCAAUUUACGAUUCAUACAGAGAGGAGCAGAGCAAAAUCAAACAGGAGGAGAAAAUUAUUAUCAAGUCGGCUGACAAUUUUGCAGAUUCACUUGAGCCAGGUACACAGCGACGACGAUACUGGCAUUGACGCAAGAAGUGGCGCACUUCUUCAGAACAAAGGUAUCUUGAACAAAUGACUAAUUUCUUUUGUUCCUGAUUGGAAUAUUGUCUCAAGAAUACAAACACGGCAAAGAGAACAGAUGCAGGACUUUGGAAUAUGAAGUUGCUGAUUCUUUGAUUUUAUAUCAUCCACAUGUCUAUAAGAGUGUGGAACUGUGGAUUUCCAUCGUGUUUCUUUGCCAUGAAACUCAAACUACAAACCUGAUUCUUACAGUUUUACUUUGUAGGAAUGAUUUUCAAUGGAACUUCUAUUCUUUUUCUACGAUAAUGGACACAAGACUUACAUUCAGGGUAUGAAAAUCUUUAUUCGGUAAUCGGUACCGACUUUCAAAGAUCAACAUUCAGGGUGAAACUAAUUGUUGAUUAGAUGUCCAGGCAAGUAAAGCACACUCAAGUUACAUAUUUUUUUUUUUUUUGGUUUCUCUUUUACUUUGAAAUAUGGA